UGGGGAAUGGCUCGGCUCGGGUGCCGACGAAGGACGUGCCAAGCUGCGAAAUGCGUCGGGUAGGCGCAAGGAACCUGUGAUCCGACGAUCUCCGAAUGGGACCUCCUGACCGCAAGGUCGUUCCGCGAGGAACGGAAACCCCCGGGAUUGAAGCAUCCUAGUACGGGGAGGAAAAGAAACCAAUUGGGAUGCCCUCAGUAAAGGCGAUCGAAGAGGGUACAGAGCAAACCGAAGCCUCUCUUGAAAGAGAGCGGCCGUGUGGUGUUCGGACUCCGGCACACCUGACCCUGUCAACUCGAACUCCGGUGGAAUGCCGAGGCCAGAGAGGGUGACAGCCCCGUAGAGGUACGCGGGGAAGGUGAUUCGGGGUAUCCAGAGUAGCGUGCGUUGGAUAUCGCGCGUGAAGGCGGGUGGCAUAGACAUCCAACUCUAAACACAACCCGAGACCGAUAGUGCACUAGUAGCGUGAGUGAAAGCUGAAAAGUGCCCUUGACGGGAGGUCAAAAGAGCCUGAAACCAGACAGUUACAGACAUAUACGGCACGAAAGCGACGAAGUCCGCAAGGAUGGAGCGGUGUCGUAUUAUCCGUUGUGAAUAACGGGCCAGGGAGUUCUGAUCCACGGCGAGGUUAACCGCUACACGCGGGAAGCCGAAGCGAAAGCGACAUGCGCGCAACGCCGCAAGGCGCGAGGCGCGUCGUGGGCUCGCGAGGAGUCGUGGGUGCGAUGCCCGAAGCCGGUCGAUCUAUGCCUGGUCAGGUUGAAGCCCUCCGAAAGGGGGGUGGAGGACCCAACCGGUGUUGAUGUGCAAAUCACUCGGGUGAACUGGGCAUAGGGGUGAAAGGCCAAUCUAGGCCGGGAAUGGCUGGUUCCCCUCGAAAUCAGUCGCAGCUGGACCUCGGCGGAGGUAGGCCAUGGGGUAGAGCUACUGAUUGCGCGCUAAGGCGGAGAAAUCCGUCGGUGCGCUGUCAAACUCCAAAUCCGUGGUCGCCGUAGAAGCCGGGAGUCGGGUGCCUGGGGUAAUCUUGGCAUCCGUAAGGGAAACCGCCCAACCUGCAGUUAAGGUCCCUAAGUGCCGACUCAGUGCGAAUACCAAAGGGAGUUCGUGGUCUCAGACAGCUGGGAUGUGGGCUUAGAAGCAGCCAUCAUUCAAAGAUAGCGUAACAGCUCACCAGCCGAGAUCAUGGGCCCCGAAAAGGGACGGGGCUUAAGUCGGUCACCGAUACUGCAGAGCACCGAAAGGUGAUCUUGUAGAGGGGCGUCGUGCGCGGGUCGAAGCCGGAGCCGUGAGGUCCGGUGGACCGCGUUCGAAUGAGGAUCCUGGGAGGAGUAGCAGCAAAGUGCGGUAAGAAUCCGCACCGCCGAAAGGGCCAGGGUUCCUCGGCAAUGCUCGUCAGCCGAGGGUUAGUCGGUCCUAAGUGUUCUCCUAACCGAAGAACGCGAAAGGGAAGCAGGUUAAUAUUCCUGCACCACGCGGAACCCUGUCCAACGUCGGACGCAUCGCGGUAGGUGGAGUCGUCGUGCCUGGCGAUUCAACCGUUGAAGUCCCCGGAGAGCCGUCACGGCGAGAAGGGGAUGAAGGCGGGAGUAGGGCCGCAAGGCCUUCCGCUGAUCCGUGGUGUCCGUGAAAAGGACGUUGGAGUCAUUCCGUGUGUCCGUACCUAGAACUGACACAGGUGCCCCUGGGUGAAAAGCCCAAGGCGUGUCGGCGAAAAUCCACGCGAGGGAAUUCGGCAAAUUGGCCCCGUACCUUCGGAAGAAGGGGUGCCAGCCACGCGAGUGGCUGGUCGCAGUGACCAGGGAGCCCCGACUGUUUACCCAAAACACAGGUGGCCGCCAGAUCGAGAGGUUGUGUACGGCCGCUGAAGCCUGCCCAGUGCUGGUAUCUGAAGGCCUGUUUCAACGGGACGAAGGACCAGUAAACGGCGGGGGUAACUAUGACCCUCUUAAGGUUCUAUUCGCGAGCCUUAAUAAAAAUCGGCUAUUUGCGGGAAACUCCGAGCAUCCUCGAGUACCGCGCUCGCGGUAACAAUCUCGAGGUGCGGACAAUCCGCAGGGAAGGCCGAUCGACAGAUCGGAACCCUCAGAGACUGUACGCCGAUCGCCGCGCAAGCGGUGAAGAUACAGUCCGACCCUCACGGCGACGUGAGGAGGCCACGGGAAACCGUGGCCCGCCUGAUCCCUCGUGGACUAGGUCACGAAAGCAACAGACGUGAGCGUAAUACCUUGUCGCUUAAUUGGCGACUUGCAUGAAGGCCCAACGAGAGCUCUACUGUCCCCGCGUGGAGGCCGGUGAAACUGACGUACUGGCGCACAGUCCAGUACCUUCCACCUGAAAGCGAAGACCCCGUGGAGCUUUACUGCAGUCUGUCGCUGCCGUAUGAGCCUGAAUGUGUAGUGUAGGCGGGACUCGUUACAAAGGGCCGACCGCUAGGUCGGAACCGAGAGGCCGAUGAAACACCGCCCUUUUGGACUCGUACGGCUAACACCUACGGGUGGACAACGGUAGGUGGGCAGUUUGGGUGGGGCGCCACGCCCUCAAAAAGAUAACAAGGGCGCCCAAAGGUUAGCUUAGGUGGGUCAGAAAUCCACCGUUAACUGUAAGGGGAAAAGCUAGCCUGACGUGGACUUGCCCAACGAGAGUCCACGACACGAAAGUGGGGCCUAGCGAACCCAUGAGCCUCAUUUAUGGGGGCCAUGGAUGUCAGAAAAGUUACCCCGGGGAUAACUGAGUCGUCUCCGGCUAGAGUUCCUAUCGACCCGGAGGCUUGCUACUUCGACGUCGGCUCUUCCUAUCCUGGUGGUGCAUGAG
rnacentral:rRNA from 1 species